rnacentral:tRNA from 1 species
UGGCGUAGUGUUCACUGCGCUCGCCUUGCACGCGGGAGGCCCGGGUUCGAUUCCCGG